rnacentral:rRNA from 1 species
AAAGAAAGCGUAAUAGCUCACUGGUCGAGUCGGCCUGCGCGGAAGAUGUAACGGGGCUAAACCAUGCACCGAAGCUGCGGCAGCGACGCUGAUGCGUUGUUGGGUAGGGGAGCGUUCUGUAAGCCUGUGAAGGUGUGCUGUGAGGCAUGCUGGAGGUAUCAGAAGUGCGAAUGCUGACAUAAGUAACGAUAAAGCGGGUGAAAAGCCCGCUCGCCGGAAGACCAAGGGUUCCUGUCCAACGUUAAUCGGGGCAGGGUGAGUCGACCCCUAAGGCGAGGCCGAAAGGCGUAGUCGAUGGGAAACAGGUUAAUAUUCCUGUACUUGGUGUUACUGCGAAGGGGGGACGGAGAAGGCUAUGUUGGCCGGGCGACGGUUGUCCCGGUUUAAGCGUGUAGGCUGGUUUUCCAGGCAAAUCCGGAAAAUCAAGGCUGAGGCGUGAUGACGAGGCACUACGGUGCUGAAGCAACAAAUGCCCUGCUUCCAGGAAAAGCCUCUAAGCAUCAGGUAACAUCAAAUCGUACCCCAAACCGACACAGGUGGUCAGGUAGAGAAUACCAAGGCGCUUGAGAGAACUCGGGUGAAGGAACUAGGCAAAAUGGUGCCGUAACUUCGGGAGAAGGCACGCUGAUAUGUAGGUGAGGUCCCUCGCGGAUGGAGCUGAAAUCAGUCGAAGAUACCAGCUGGCUGCAACUGUUUAUUAAAAACACAGCACUGUGCAAACACGAAAGUGGACGUAUACGGUGUGACGCCUGCCCGGUGCCGGAAGGUUAAUUGAUGGGGUUAGCCGCAAGGCGAAGCUCUUGAUCGAAGCCCCGGUAAACGGCGGCCGUAACUAUAACGGUCCUAAGGUAGCGAAAUUCCUUGUCGGGUAAGUUCCGACCUGCACGAAUGGCGUAAUGAUGGCCAGGCUGUCUCCACCCGAGACUCAGUGAAAUUGAACUCGCUGUGAAGAUGCAGUGUACCCGCGGCAAGACGGAAAGACCCCGUGAACCUUUACUAUAGCUUGACACUGAACAUUGAGCCUUGAUGUGUAGGAUAGGUGGGAGGCUUUGAAGUGUGGACGCCAGUCUGCAUGGAGCCGACCUUGAAAUACCACCCUUUAAUGUUUGAUGUUCUAACGUUGACCCGUAAUCCGGGUUGCGGACAGUGUCUGGUGGGUAGUUUGACUGGGGCGGUCUCCUCCUAAAGAGUAACGGAGGAGCACGAAGGUUGGCUAAUCCUGGUCGGACAUCAGGAGGUUAGUGCAAUGGCAUAAGCCAGCUUGACUGCGAGCGUGACGGCGCGAGCAGGUGCGAAAGCAGGUCAUAGUGAUCCGGUGGUUCUGAAUGGAAGGGCCAUCGCUCAACGGAUAAAAGGUACUCCGGGGAUAACAGGCUGAUACCGCCCAAGAGUUCAUAUCGACGGCGGUGUUUGGCACCUCGAUGUCGGCUCAUCACAUCCUGGGGCUGAAGUAGGUCCCAAGGGUAUGGCUGUUCGCCAUUUAAAGUGGUACGCGAGCUGGGUUUAGAACGUCGUGAGACAGUUCGGUCCCUAUCUGCCGUGGGCGCUGGAGAACUGAGGGGGGCUGCUCCUAGUACGAGAGGACCGGAGUGGACGCAUCACUGGUGUUCGGGUUGUCAUGCCAAUGGCACUGCCCGGUAGCUAAAUGCGGAAGAGAUAAGUGCUGAAAGCAUCUAAGCACGAAACUUGCCCCGAGAUGAGUUCUCCCUGAC